UACGUAGGGGGCGAGCGUUGUCCGGAGUUACUGGGCGUAAAGCGCUUGUAGGCGGUCCACCAAGUUUGGGGUGACAGUUGCCGACUUAAUCGGCAAAGUGCCUCAAAGACUGGCGGACUUGAGGGCCACAGAGGGACAUGGAACUCCAGGUGUAGUGGUGAAAUGCGUAGAUAUCUGGAAGAACACCAAAGGCGAAGGCAGUGUCCUGGGUGGUCGCUAACACUGAGAGGCGAAAGCCAGGGGAGCGAACGGG
rnacentral:rRNA from 1 species